rnacentral:rRNA from 1 species
UGAAUACGAGACGCUAAGGCGUCGAAGUAGUGUAUAUCAGACUUCCAAGAAAAGCUUGCACUGUCAUAGAUAAAAAAUGCCUGUACCAUAACCGACACAGGUGGGUAGGUAGAGUAUACUAAGGGGCGCGAGAUAACUCUCUCUAAGGAACUCGGCAAAAUAACUCCGUAACUUCGGGAGAAGGAGUGCCUUAUUUAUAAGGUUGCAAUAACAAGAUCCAAGCAACUGUUUAUCAAAAACACAGGUCUCCGCUAAGUCGUAAGACGAUGUAUGGGGGCUGACGCCUGCCCAGUGCCAGAAGGUUAAAGAAGUUGGUUAGCAAUUGCGAAGCUGAUAACUGAAGCCCUGGUGAACGGCGGCCGUAACGAUAACGGUCCUAAGGUAGCGAAAUUCCUUGUCGGGUAAGUUCCGACCCGCACGAAAGGCGUAAUGAUUUGGAUACUGUCUCGGAGAGGGGCUCGGUGAAAUAGACUUGUCUGUGAAGAUGCGGACUACCUGCACCAGGACAGAAAGACCCUAUGAAGCUUUACUGUAACUUGAAAUUGAAAUUGGACUUUAUUCGCGCAGCAUAGGUGGGAGGCGUUGAUUAUAAUCUUGCGGGAUUAUUGGAGCCAUCAGUGAGAUACCACUCUUGUAAUGUUAGAUUUCUAACUUUGAAUCAUUAUCUGGUCAAAGAACAGUUUCAGGCGGGCAGUUUGACUGGGGCGGUCGCCUCCUAAAUGGUAACGGAGGCGUACAAAGGUUUCCUCUGAACGGUUAGAAAUCGUAUCUAGAGUGUAAAGGCAUAAGGAAGCUUGACUGUGAGACCUACAAGUCGAGCAGGGACGAAAGUCGGUCUUAGUGAUCUGACGGUACUGAGUGGAAAGGCCGUCACUCAACGGAUAAAAGUUACUCUAAGGAUAACAGGCUGAUCUCCCCCAAGAGUUCACAUCGACGGGGAGGUUUGGCACCUCGAUGUCGGCUCAUCGCAUCCUGGGGCGGUAGUACGUCCCAAGGGCUGGGCUGUUCGCCCAUGAAAGCGGUACGCGAGCUGGGUUCAGAACGUCGUGAGACAGUUCGGUCCAUAUCCGGUGUAGGCGUUAGAAUAUUGAGAGGAGCCUUCUUUAGUACGAGAGGACCGAGAAGGACAUACCUCUGGUGUACCAGUUAUCGUGCCAACGGUAAACGCUGGGUAGCUAUGUAUGGAGUGGAUAACCGCUGAAAGCAUCUAAG